rnacentral:sRNA from 1 species
UUAACAACUCUGGAAACUUAAGCCUUCUAUUUAUCGCCAGAGUGGGUACUCUUGGGCGUGUGGAGGCAGGGCAAACUGUGACUUUACUGGAAGAGAAGGACUAAAAGUAGGGGUAAGAGGAUAUUUCAGUUUCUCUUCUAAUUAAUCUCACUGCUGAG